CGAAAAAAAGUGAGGUUAAAUUUUGUCCGGCCAGCAAAAUCAUAUGGUGCGCUAGUAUGCGUACCCGAAACGUCAUAAAGCUCUAUAUGUAUAAAGCGCGACCUUCUUGUACCGAACCAGGGGGGCGACAUCUAUAUCUCACUACAGGCAGCUCGCCCGCAGCCAACACAAGCUGUCAACUUCGGCACCAGAACAAAAGGGAGCUGUCAAUUACGGCGCCAGCACAAAAGAACAGCUGUUCGUUACGGAACCAAAACAAAGCAACUGCGCACUGUAAAAAAAGUACAAAAACUGCAGGCAUAAAAUGGAAAUAAAGUAAUUAUUGUUUUUAUGUAAAAUUUUACCGCAAUGUACGUUUAAAAGUUAGUGUAUGUUUUUGAGGUGAUUUUUAUCAAUUUAUUUGCAAAAUAAACUACUAAAGUUGGGAUUAUUAAGCACACAUCGGGCCGAUGACCUCAUUUAAAGUUGUACUUUUAUCACAUGAAACGUUUAACUUAACUACUGUGUAAUUUGACUUUUACUACAGUAAUUCUUAUAACAAAAAUUGAAUUAUUAAUAAAAAAAAUAUUUUUGUUUUCACUGUGCGCAGUUUGCGCGCGUUAUCAAUCUCAAUCACCCAAGAUGGCGGCUUUAAGCAUCCCCCUGUACCGAACGCACCAUUACACCGAAACCGUGCGACCCUCCUCAAACAAACACAACAUGGUUGAGCGAGCUGUCAUUUGUUUUAAUUAUAAAGUAUACAAAAUAGUCCACCUACUCGAGAUCUUUUUUGUAUCUAAUGUAAAUCAAGUAAAAUAAUGUAAAUUAGCCAAUGUGGAUUUGUAAACAACAGUCUAUCCUGCUCAUUUUGUAUGUAAACACGAACUGACGUGAUCAAGACAGACUGUUGCUUACAAAUCCACAUCAGCCCAUAACCAUUGUUUUGCUUGGAAUAUCAACUAACGUAAUGGAGUUGCUCUUUGUUUACGCUUCGACAUUGGCCCAAUUAUAUUUGUUUGCUUGAUUGUAGAUUUUUCAAGGUAUUUAUUUUUGUAUGUCUACAAAUAAUUGGGUCCUGAAAUGAAGCUUGGAUUGCUGAUAUUAUUAAUUACAGCGAUAAAGCUUAUUUUUCUGAGUACAAUGACCCUUUGUACGACCACAAAGAGUUUAAAAUGGAUUUUUAAAUCAAUUUUGAAAAAUUAACCUCGCGGUCCUUCUUGACAGAAAAGCUUCUACUUGACAGCGUUCCAAGGGGACUAUAGUUGAACCAUCGAAAAAAUGUUGUCUUGUCAACAUUUUUUUGCAUUAAAAUGAAAAAAAAGUGAUCAGAAAUGGUUUUUAAUCGUGUUUUUUACCGUUGUACAUCAAAAAUGACAUAGGGCUUUAGUACCCAAUUGGGUCCUAAAAUGAAACUUAGAUUGCUGAUAUUAUUGUUUACAGCGAUAAAGCUUAUUUUUCUGAGUACAAUGACCUUUUGUACGACCACAAAGAGUUUAAAACUAGGUUUAAAAUGGAUUUUUAAAUCAAUACUGAAAAAUUAACCUCGCGGUCCUUCUUGACAGAAAAGUUCCUACUUGACAACUCGUUCCAAGGGGACCAUAGUUGAUCCAUCGAAAAAAUGUUGUCUUGUCAAAACAAAAAAUUGCAUUAAAAUGAAAAAAAAGUGAUCAGAAAUGGUUUUUAAUCGUGUUUUUUACCGUUGUACAUAAAAAUUGACAUAGGGCUUUAGUACCCAAUUAAAACAGAGUGAAUCAGCUACCAAAAAAAAGCUUUAUUGUGCAGCACAAGCUUACCAAACGAACGCACCAAUGCAAGUGACAUGUAGCGUACUGAGCGUACUCAAACGAACGCACCAUCGAGCUGUCAAACUUUUUCACUCACGCGUGUUCGAUCAUGUCCGCGUAGUUGUUGGUUUUGGUGUCGAAUUUUCCGCAAUAAAUCGCGUGUGAAAGUUUAUUGGGCGCUUGCCCAAGCAUAUUUCGAUUUAGUUCCCGUCUUUUGUUGAAAAGGCCCGCCGGGGACCAAGCCGGAAUCACUCCGAGAUUGUGACUAGGUGUGGAACGACGAUUUUCAGCAACUUUGGUAAGUAUUUCGAGAGUGGAGAAAUUUGGAUCUUGGAAUUGUUUCCAACUGUGUUCGUGGGGGAGACCGGAGUCCCUCCCCACUUUUUUUGCAAGCAGUGACAUUACCAAACUUUUCGGCACCUUCCGCAAACGUCAAACCAGUCCGAAGUUGGUGUCGGAUCUCUUCCGGAAAAGAUUCGGCAACAAAUUUGUAUGGUUUGACGUUGCGGAGGAUGCCGAAAAAUGUCAACAAAUCACUUGUUGCAUUGGAAAUAGUAGCAGCAGGCAUUUUUCUUGCUUGGGCAGCUCGUUUUAACAAUCUUUUGUAUUUGGUUUCCAACAGGGAAUAUUUCGACCAUGGAUCAUUUGAAGCUGUUGGCGCUCUAUUUGGCCGAGGAACUACACCAGCGACGAACUCCAACCACAGAGUAACCCUCUGCACCUGCCUACACUCAAACUCCUUUCUCCAUUCAUGUCGUUCAUCACCGGCCGAUUUCGUCACUGUUGGCAGUAUCCGUCGCACCGUGCCCUGUGAAACCUGUAACCAGCAGAAUGAAUCCCUUCUACCCACACCAAUGCUGUUUACGUAAGCGGUUCUCUUUGUGCGGACCAGUAUGUACAACAAAAUUGGACAUCCGUCUCCGGAUGUUCUGGUCAGACAGGAAGCAAGAAGAGGAACCUCAACCAGAGCUAACAAACGAUGUGCUCAUCGUUGAGAUCUUGGAAGGCACGGAUGAGGUCGUCGAGUACAAGAACAAUGUACUCGUCUAUGUACCAAAAGAUUAAUCCGGCCUUUUCCUUGAAGACGGUGGCUCGCGGCAGGCUUGAAUCCCAUUUCUCGUUGGAAUUGAAUAGAAACCCACACCGGAACACAAAAGCUACCAGAGUUUCCCGAGCUCAUUAUUCACAACGAGAAUUGAGAACGAACGUGAACUAAUCCCGGCUCCAGUAUUGAAGAUAGAUCUCCAAAGAAAAAAAAAGUCACUGGAGUUGCAGUUUGGAGUGUUGGUAACGCAAAUAGAAUUAAAACAAAAGUGAAAUGUAAACAAAACGAAUUAAAAUUAAAAUAAAUUCUAAUGUACCUACAAUUCAUUGUACUGUUUGAAUAUAGUUUUUACAGUACCAUUUAGUAGGAAACAAACGAUAAUAAACUAUAAUUUUACUGUGAAAUUCACUGCAAUGAUUAUUUAUUUCAAUGUACGGAUAGAGUGAAAACAGUACUAUUUAGUAGGAAAAAAAUGAUAAAGGACUAUAAUUUUACUGCGUAAUCCAUUGUAAUGCUUGCUGUUUUUAUUAUAAAUGUAUGAUGUUUUCUAUAGUCAGGGCAAGUUUUUGAAUGAAAAAUGCAACAUUAGAUUAACAGUAAAAUGCGUCGUAUUUGGAAAAAAAAUGUAUGGAAAAAUUUCGAAAUUUUUAUGGUACCGGUGCAUAACAACCCCCCUUUUUUAUGGUAAAAUCCCAAAAUACGACGCAAAUUAUCUUAAAAAACGAUGCUGUCUACUGUUAAAACACUGUCAAAAUGACAAUAUAUUUUAUCGUUUUGUAACGUUAAAAUUUACUGUAAGUUCAUCAGAAAUCUUUAUGCGGGUUAGCCAAACAAAACAUGUUUGUUAUUGUUUACAUUACGUGCUCUUGGUUCAGGUUAUUCAAGGUCAAUAACGAAAACUUAAGAGCGAGUCCACGAGCAAAGCGUACCCGUCUCGCAUCGACCUCACCAAUCUGCCUGAAUUUUUCAGGGGUUAUUUGUACAUAUAAAACUAGCAUCCGGCCAAAAUAUGAGCACUCUAGGUCAACGGGAAGUGGGGCAAAUCGGGACACAAAGUUUGAUGGUUCAAAAACGUCAAAAAUCUUUAAAAGGCUAUAACUUAGGCAAAAUUAAUUUAAUUUAAAAUUUCAAAAUGCAUCUGAAAGGGUUUGAAAAAUGCAACAAAAUGCAGUGUAGAGCAUCUCAACUGGUAAAAUCUAAAGGGAGUUAUUGGCAUUUUAGUGAAAAAAUAGCAUAAUUUUCAGUGUUCCAUUCAGAUAUCAACUCGGUUCGACCUGCAGCUUGUAGGGGACAUCUGGGACUACCAUCUGAGACUGAGGACGCUUUGGGUAUGGCAGUUUAACAUAUUAAAUAGCCCCUUUUACUUUUAGUGAAUUUUUUGAUUGUAAAUUUUUGCUCGGGGGACCCCUUAGAUCCCAUUUUCUAGUGAUAAUUUUAUCAUAUUCGUGUUCCUGAGACAAUUUCACAAUAGAAACAUGUACCGUAAACUGGGGUGACUUUGAUAGCCCGGGGUGACAUUGAUAGAAAUUUGAUUUAGCCACUAACAUUGAUACAUCCAAUGUAACAGUCACAUUUUUGCAUAUAUGUUCGAUAAUAAGCUAUCCCUUAAUGCUUCCAUACUAAAAAUUCUCAAAAAUGUUCAGAUAUUAAUUCGACGGGCAUUUUAAAAACCUAUCAAAGUCACCCCGGGCUAUCAAAGUCACCCCAGUUUACGAUACAAAAAUGUUUAUUUUCAUCCAUUUUAUCCCUUUAAAAAUAAAAGUUAAAAUAUAAUCUUUGAUUCACAUUUAAUGAAAAUCAAGUUCGUUUCCAUGGACACUAGAUGUCACCAGAAAAAGGCAGCUUCUUAAUUUUUUUAACUUUAAUUUUUUGAAGGGUAAGGCAGAUUGGUGAGGACCAAACGACGUCCCAUACAAAGGGGUAUGCCCUGUUCGUGAACUCGCUCUUAAGUAUUCCUCGGAACUUCAAAAAGCGACGUACGACAAGAUAGCACGAUCACGUCGAACUGAGAAAAACGCGGUUGAGAUUUUUACACAUUGUUGCUGAAUUUAUACAAAUAAUUGUCCAAGGUUUCCACUUUUGCCCUGUAUGUCCUUAUUCCCCAGAUUUACUUUUGUCGCUUUUACAGUUUUUGCACACAAAUAAUAUUGGUUUUUUGGCAUAUAUACUAAAAACUAACUUAAUCCACCUAUGUGGUUGGAGCCUUCCUCACAACAAUGGCUGUACACAAGUUUCAUCUAUUUUUUAGAUCCGGCUUCCAAAAAGUACAUCGAUAUCACUUAAGUGGCCAUAUCUCGAGACAGGGUUGCCAGAUCUUCAAUGUUUUGGACUCGUUGGAAAGGUUUUUUGAUAACCUAACCAACGCAACGUUGCAACGUUGGGUCGGAUGAUGGACCCGGACAUAGUUUACAUACAUUUAAGUGAGAUCCGGCUUCAAAAAAGUACAUCAAUAUCACUUAAGUGGCCAUAUCUCGAGACAGGUUUGCCCGAUCUUCGAUGUUUUGCACUCGUUGGAAAGGUCUUUUGAUAACCUAACCAACAAUAGGUCGAAUGGUGGAUCCGGACAAAGUUUACAUACAUUUAAGUGAGA